rnacentral:pre_miRNA from 1 species
GUAGCGGUAAACCGUCGGUCUACCGAGCAAACAUCACCCGCUCGGUGGAAGAUCUUCCCUUUGUCGU